GAAACUUAAAGGAAUUGACGGGACCCGCACAAGCGGUGGAUGAUGUGGAUUAAUUCGAUGCAACGCGAAAACUUACCUACCCUUGACAUGUCCGGAAUCCCGAAGAGAUUUGGGAGUGCUCGCAAGAGAACCGGAACACAGGUGCUGCAUGGCUGUCGUCAGCUCGUGUCGUGAGAUGUUGGGUUAAGUCCCGCAACGAGCGCAACCCUUGUCAUUAGUUGCUACAUUCAGUUGGGCACUCUAAUGAGACUGCCGGUGACAAGCCGGAGGAAGUGGGGAUGACGUCAAGUCCUCAUGGCCCUUAUAGGUGGGGCUACACACGUCAUACAAUGGCUGGUACAAAGGGUUGCCAACCCGCGAGGGGGAGCCAAUCCCAUAAAGCCAGUCGUAGUCCGGAUCGUAGUCUGCAACUCGACUACGUGAAGUCGGAAUCGCUAGUAAUCGUGGAUCAGAAUGUCACGGUGAAUACGUUCCCGGGUCUU
rnacentral:rRNA from 1 species